rnacentral:rRNA from 1 species
UACGAAGGGGGCUAGCGUUGCUCGGAAUCACUGGGCGUACAGGGUGCGUAGGCGGGUCUUUAAGUCAGGGGGGAAAUCCUGGAGCUCAACUCCAGAACUGCCUUUGAUACUGAAGAUCUUGAGUUCGGGAGAGGUGAGUGGAACUGCGAGUGUAGAGGUGAAAUUCGUAGAUAUUCGCAAGAACACCAGUGGCGAAGGCGGCUCACUGGCCCGAUACUGACGCUGAGGCACGAAAGCGUGGGGAGCAAACAGG